rnacentral:misc_RNA from 1 species
GGGAAAUCUUUCACACUAGAGAAAAAUGCUUUAAGAAUAAUACUUCACCAUUCAAAACACACUCAAAUGGACUUUGAAGUCCCUCUCAACCAAAGAACAUUUACUUUUUACAUUUUGAAAACAAGUGUUCUUUCCCAUCUUUGUGGUUGAUAAGGUAUGAAACUAACAAUCUUAACACCUUGAGGCACCGGCAACUCAUCCUGCAUCGGAAUUUUCUCAUGCCAGACAAACUCGUUCUCGUGUUCAUACUUCCGGAGCAACACAUUCAAGUCAUCAAUCACUUGCUUAUAAACUAGUCUCCAUGACUCUUCUCUUGGUGUAUGUUUUUCUGAACUUUGUAUCACAUGGCAAAGAACUCCAAUAGCGAAGCCUAUUUGCCCCUCCGUCUUUAGACUCUCUGCUAGAUACUUGUAACUGAGUAACUCAUGCAGCAUUUUACAGGUCGUAAUAUAGUCCGUUAAAGAUGAAAUGUCUUUGUACUGCUUGGUGGCUGAAUUCAAGGUAUGAAUAGCUUCACUAAGAAAUUCACAAACGCCAUAGUGCAGCUUUGCCAAAAGUCCUCCGGUAUUCCCUUUUUGCUCUGCCUUCUUCACUGUCACAGCCUGUGCCUCAGCUAAACAAACAAGGGUGGUUGCAGCAGAAACACUAAUCAGAGCUUCUGGUGGCCUUUCUGGUGUCCACUCAUGCUGCAAACACGGAAGGACAACCUGAGCUAGAUGUUGGUAAAUUCCCGCAGCUCUUCUGAGAAUGGUGGCAGAUUGCACUAGAUCUGUUGACAGAACUUCCAAAGCUUGAUCUCGAAGCAAUGCACCAAGAACGGAAAGUGUCAUACCAAGUUCAAAAUGCAAAUUAUCCAUUUGAUAAAGUUUUGGACCGCUAAGAUGGAAAAAGGAGGAUGGAGCGAGAGAGCUGCUCCACCUAAUCUUUAGGUCAGAAAUCCAUCGAGCCAUCUUCGGGUCGUCACCAACUAGGUCUACAUGGUGUAUCAAGUUCCCCAAAAGUGGCAAAUAUUGUUCUACCUUCUGUAUAUUCUGUUCACAUCGAGACGUCAACCCCCCAGACAUUUCUCUAGCAAUGGCCUCUGUCACAAAGCUAUUCUGAUUGAUGCAUUCGAUAGCCCUCCUUCUGGAGCUCAACUCUUUUAAUUGCUCCAGGGUGCCAGGAUCAGACGCUAAUAAUGCAUUUUCAAAUAGAACCUGAGGAGAUUUCUGCUUUGAAAAACCUUGAAAAUUUAUCAUCAUUUUUCUGAUUCACUCUCCCCCAAAAUCCACACAAAAACAAUGAAAUACAGUUGAAAUUACACAGGAAAAAAAUGGGAAAACUUGUAAGAAAAAUUGAGAAGAAAAU